AUUGAACGCUGGCGGCAUGCUUUACACAUGCAAGUCGAACGGUAACAGGUUAAGCUGACGAGUGGCGAACGGGUGAGUAAUGCAUCGGAACGUGCCCGGUCGUGGGGGAUAACGCAGCGAAAGCUGCGCUAAUACCGCAUACGAUCUGAGGAUGAAAGCGGGGGACCGUAAGGCCUCGCGCGAUCGGCGCAGCCGAUGUCAGAUUAGGUAGUUGGUGGGGUACAGGCUCACCAAGCCCACGAUCUGUAGCUGGUCUGAGAGGACGACCAGCCACACUGGGACUGAGACACGGCCCAGACUCCUACGGGAGGCAGCAGUGGGGAAUUUUGGACAAUGGGCGAAAGCCUGAUCCAGCAAUGCCGCGUGCAGGAAGAAGGCCUUCGGGUUGUAAACUGCUUUUGUACGGAGCGAAAAGGUCUCCUCUAAUACGGGGGGCUCAUGACGGUACCGUAAGAAUAAGCACCGGCUAACUACGUGCCAGCAGCCGCCGUAA
rnacentral:rRNA from 1 species